rnacentral:rRNA from 1 species
CCUACGGGAGGCAGCAGCCGAGAAAAUUCACAAUGGGGGCAACCCUGAUGGUGCAACGCCGCGUGGAGGAUGACGGUCUUCGGAUUGUAAACUCCUGUCAUCUGGGAGUAAGACCUGGCUGUUAAUAGCAGACAGGGUUGAUAGUACCAGAAGAGGAAGGGACGGCUAACUUCGUGCCAGCAGCCGCGGUAAUACGGAGGUCCCGAGCGUUGGUCGGAAUCACUGGGCGUAAAGGGAGCGUAGGCGGCGCGGUAAGUCAGAUGUGAAAUCCCGGGGCUCAACCCCGGAACUGCAUCCGAUACUGCCGUGCUAGAGGAUUGGAGAGGUAGCUGGAAUUCUUGGUGUAGCAGUGAAAUGCGUAGAUAUCAAGAGGAACACUCGUGGCGAAAGCGAGCUACUGGACAACUCCUGACGCUGAGGCUCGAAGGCUAGGGUAGCGAAAGGGGAUUAGAUACCCCUGUAGUCCUAGCAGUAAACGGUGCACGCUUGGUGUGAGGGGAAUCGACCCCCCUUGUGCCGGAGCUAACGCGUUAAGCGUGCCGCCUGGGAAGUACGGUCGCAAGACUAAAACUCAAAGAAAUUGACGGGGACCCGCACAAGCGGUGGAGUAUGUGGCUUAAUUCGAUGCAACGCGAAGAACCUUACCAAGGCUUGACAUGGAUUUCUAAGCACGUGAAAGCGUGUGACCCUUCGAGGAACUUCCACAGGUGCUGCAUGGCCGUCGUCAGCUCGUGUCGUGAGAUGUUGGGUUAAGUCCCGCAACGAGCGCAACCCUUGUGAUUAGUUGCCAGCACGUUAUGGUGGGAACUCUAAUCAGACUGCCCAGAUCAACUGGGAGGAAGGUGGGGACGACGUCAGGUCAGUAUGGCCCUUACGCCUUGGGCUGCACACGUAAUACAAUGGCAACGACAGAGGGCAGCUACCUCGCGAGAGCAAGCGAAUCCCUAAACGUUGUCUCAGUUCGGAUUGCAGGCUGCAACUCGCCUGCAUGAAGUCGGAAUUGCUAGUAAUGGC